rnacentral:rRNA from 1 species
UGGGGAAUAUUGCACAAUGGGGGAAACCCUGAUGCAGCGACGCCGCGUGAGCGAUGAAGGCUUUCGAGUCGUAAAGCUCUGUCCUAUGGGAAGAUAAUGACGGUACCAUAGAAGAAAGCCCCGGCUAAUUACGUGCCAGCAGCCGCGGUAAUACGUAAGGGGCGAGCGUUGUCCGGAAUUAUUGGGCGUAAAGAGUGCGUAGGCGGCAAAUUAAGUCAGAUGUGAAAACUAAGGGCUCAACCCAUAGAUUGCAUCUGAAACUGAUAUGCUUGAGUCAAGGAGAGGAAAGUGGAAUUCCUAGUGUAGCGAUGGAAUGCGUAGAUAUUAGGAGGAAUACCGGUGGCGAAGGCGACUUUCUGACCAUAUACUGACGCUGAGGUACGAAAGCGUGGGUAGCAAACAGG